GCGCGCCGCUGGCGGCGCCCGCUGCCUAGCAACGUUCUGUACUGUCCGGAGAUCAAGGACUUGGCCCACAUGACUCGCUGCACGCUGUAGCCCCGGGGCCCGGAAGCUGAGGCCGAAGGGAGGUGGGAGCUGCGUUCCCGGGGCGUGCUGUCGUACCAGGGGUUGAUGCCAAGGCUACCCCCUCUCCCAUCCCAGGACUGGCACGGACGAGGAAGUGCAGCCGAGGGCAGGAGGGAACGCCCUGGGAGGUGUUGAUGCUGAGCUGGGGAGGCUCCUAGACGAAUCGCCCCCAUCUGCUGACUGUGCCAGCCGUACAUAUUUAGGAUAGAGUGGCCCAGGGAUGAUGAUAAAAACAAAGUCCAUGUACCCGUGGGAAGAAGACAGAUUGUUUCCUUAGCUGUGACUUGGCUUUUGUCCAGGGCAACUCUGGUUGUGUGGGAGCAACAAGUCCCAUUUUAGCAAUUUUGUGCCAAUGGUUUGAAAAUUUCAAAAAAAAAAUGGAACAGGAGAGAAAGAGGCUGAUUUUCAUGUCAUGUUAAUCUCAAUUCUCUACCACUAAGAGACUUAUAAAAUAAGUCUCUUAAAUAAGCUGUUUGGUUUGCCCCCCACCCCCACCCCCAGUGCUGACAUGCUCAGUCUCCCCACUCCCAGUACUGUAUUCCUAAAAUUAUCCAGAUGCCUCUGGCCUGCCUCGUUUCAGAAUCCCCCUCCAACCUGUUAGGGCAGGUAUCAGAAGGUCCAAAGAACAUUCAUCUGAGGCACCUAAUUAGGGCCUAUCAAGGAUAGAAAAGAGGCAUUUGGUAAAGGCAUCAGGUUUUAAAUCCCAUCAGUAUCUUAUAGUCGUCAAUGGGGGCUUGUUGGAAGUGUCAGGAUUCCACUUCACUUGCUGAAUCAGAACCUGCAUUUUAAUUAUCAGCCCAGGUCCUAGAUGCUCUAGGAUGUUACCAUCUAUGGGUGAAAUAUUUAGAACACAAAUGGUAUUUAACAAACUAUACACUAUUUUAUUGAAGGUUCUAAAGUGACAUUCUGUUGAAGAAAUCUAAAUUCAUGUGCAUAGUUGGAUUUUCCUGAGUUAAAAAUGUGAAUUUAAACCAUAUUUUGGUUUUUCCUGUCCUUAAGUCUCAGCUUAAAUGUUCCCUCUUUUGGGAAGCCUUUUUCAGCAUUCAACCUGGUGUUGCCCCUUUCCUCACUUUCUAUAGCAUAAUGCCUUGUUUUAUGUUCUCUGCUUUUAUUUUCAGAUAGUAUGUGUUUUGUUGGUGUCCCUACUAAAGUGUAAGCUUCAUGAGAGUAAUGACUGACUUGUGACUAUUUUAUCUCCAGUGCCAACAACAGUGUUAAUAUAUAGUAUGUACUCAAUAAAUGUUUGUUGAAUCUUAUCUUUUAUUUUUUAACAUUCAAAAACGGUCUGACCUCUCCCAGCUAUGUUUGUUGAAUUUUAUCUUUCCUUUUUAACUUUCAAAAGCGAAGUGUCUGACCUCUCUCAGCUGCUGAGCAGCCCUGGUAGUGAACGAUACAUGUCAGAGAAGUGUCUAGCAGUUAAAAUACUUAGCAAGCUAUGGAGGUCUGACCCCCCACGCCCCAACUCUUUAAAAAAAAAAGGACGCACUUCUGCACACUUGGAACUGAACCCGUGGAGCUUUGGUGACCUCUACUGACUCUUGUGGGAACUAAGCAUGGAAAGGAUGGAGGUGGAAAGGAUGAUCAAAAGGAUGAAUAGAAGGCAGUUCUGAAUCGCAGCAGGCAACUCCUCACACACUUCUGUCCAGAAUCCCUGCUAUCUCUGAUUUCAACCUGAGGCCCGUAAGGUAUCCUGCUGCUCACCCUCCAUCUCUAAACUGAGCUCAUCACAUUAGGAUUGGGGUUGGAAAAAGCCUUGGAGUUUUAAUUGAUGAUCCAAGAAAUGAAAAAGGUAGUCACAAGGUUUUUAAAAAGAGAAAAAGAUAGAUCAUAUUAAACAGCAAAAUCCUUUCUUUCCUUAUCCCUCCCCCCAGUCAAAGAACUCCCACUCAAAAAUAACAGAGCACACAGAAAGGAAAGUAUAAUUUAUAUGUACAACCAAUAAACCUGAUACAGAAGAGGGGAUUGGGACAGACCAGGAGUGAGUGUGAAGAGAGACUGGGGAAUGGCCAGCAAGAAAGUGAAGGGGCAGCGAAGAGGAAGUGGAGGGUUCGCCAUGCAAACUGCCACUCUCCUCAGCCCCUCCUGGGGAAGAGGGUGUGCGUGCCCGUGUCUCCCUAGCCUGCUCUCCAUUAUUUUUCUCUGGUCCUCAAGGCAAGUAGCCUCCUGACUAGGCCCCCUGCCUCACACACUCAAAUUUAGUCUGUAUUCAGGCCUUCAGGAGAAAGGGGAGAAGUCCUCAACCUGAGCCCCAGAGCUGGGGGUUCCCCCAGCAUCUGGCCCAUUGUGUUCUCUCCCACCCUUUCUAGGUCACCUGGGUCCCUAGGUCAGAUUGGGGAGCGCCUCUUUGGCUUGAGGGGGUAUCGCCCAACCAUUACUCUCUUUGUAGGGGUGGUUCUUGGCCCCUGUGGAGGGGGUAAGAUGCCCAACA